UCAUCGUCGAACGGUGUAGACACUUGCCUCUCAUGCUGGAGUCCCGAGUUCGAUUCCCGGUCGAAGAG